CUUGUUUUUUACUCCUCGCCUGUAUAUCAAGUUGCUGGUGAUGAAGUAACAUUUGGAGGUUGGAUGAUCAGCAGUGAAAACAUCAUCAUCUGUGAAGGCAAGAUGAAGCUGCGAGGACACUGGAGUUUGUUCAAAGAUGCUUAAUUGGUGUGAACCCUAAGAGGUGAACAAAAGCCAGGCAGGUGAAGGUGUCCGAGAAGACAGGAAAGCUUGUCCAGAAAAACGCAGCAACUGUUAAUCCCCAUGUGACCACCCUCAUCAAAAACUUCAUGGACUUUGAGUGGGGCUUUCACAUUGUAUUCUGCAGUGUUGUGAUAUUUAUGUGACAUCACAGCAUUAUGUUUUAUUCAGCCCAGUCUCAUUAGUGAGGCAGAAACUGACAUUUAAGAAUGCACUGAAUUUUGUUAUAUUUAAUAAAAACAGUGUUUUAUCAUCAUCCUUUGUUUGAGAAUUUUUUUGCAAGCAAUUUUAAGUGUUUAUUUUAAAAUUACAUUUUAACAAUGCUAGAAAAUCACAUUCUACAGUAUAAAUAACAGCAGGAACCCUAAAAUAACAGUAUAAUGCAUCCAAACAUCUGACAGUAUUAUACUGUGCAGCUCCCUUUUUUUACAGUACUGUCUCGUAAUAUUUGUACAGUAAAAAACUGUUGUUGUAAAUUACAGUAGGUAAUCUGUAAAAUUACAACUAUAUGCUGGCAAAUCUAGCUGCCAGUAUAUUAC